ACGCACGCUGGCGGCGUGCUUCACACCUGCAAGUCGAACGGAAAGGCCCUGCUUUUGUGGGGUGCUCGAGUGGCGAACGGGUGAGUAACACGUGAGUAACCUGCCCUUGACUUUGGGAUAACUUCAGGAAACUGGGGCUAAUACCGGAUAGGAGCUCCUGCUGCAUGGUGGGGGUUGGAAAGUUUCGGCGGUUGGGGAUGGACUCGCGGCUUAUCAGCUUGUUGGUGGGGUAGUGGCUUACCAAGGCUUUGACGGGUAGCCGGCCUGAGAGGGUGACCGGCCACAUUGGGACUGAGAUACGGCCCAGACUCCUACGGGAGGCAGCAGUGGGGAAUAUUGCACAAUGGGCGGAAGCCUGAUGCAGCAACGCCGCGUGCGGGAUGACGGCCUUCGGGUUGUAAACCGCUUUCGCCUGUGACGAAGCGUGAGUGACGGUAACGGGUAAAGAAGCACCGGCUAACUACGUG
rnacentral:rRNA from 1 species